rnacentral:rRNA from 1 species
GCCUGAGAAACGGCUACCACAUCCAAGGAAGGCAGCAGGCGCGCAAAUUACCCAAUCCAGACAUUGGGAGGUAGUGACGAGAAAUACUGGGGGCGCUCAAUGAGUGCCAUCCGGAAUGAACGUAAUAUAAAAAAUUCGAUGAGGAUCUACUGGAGGGCAAGUCUGGUGCCAGCAGCCGCGGUAAUUCCAGCUCCAGUAGUGUAUAUCAACAUUGUUGCGCUUAAAACGCUCGUAGUUGGAUUACAGGGCUCUCAAGGGCCAGCCUUAUACAGGGGUUGGUCCGUGGGCACCUUGAAAGAGGUGUCCGCCGAGUCCUUUAUCGCACUGGUGCUGCGGUCUGCCUUUGUUGGUAACCGCAGUAGCCGGUGGAGUGUGCCUUGAAUAAAGCAUAGUGCUCAAAGCAGGCGUACGCUCGUGUGUAAUAGCAUGGAACGAAUAAUUUGGCCGGCURCAUYGCGGGUGUGUAUUUAUGCAUGCCUGGAUGGAGCGCGACUCUUGCAGUGUUGGUUGGAGUCACGGUCUCACUGGUUAACAGGGACAUCUGAGGGCACUAGUAUUUUGCGGCGAGAGGUGAAAUUCUUAGACCCGCAAAGGACUGACUACUGCGAAAGCAUUUGCCAAGAAUGUUUUCAUUAAUCAAGAACGAAGGUCAGAGGAUCGAAGACGAUCAGAUACCGUCCUAGUUUUGACAGCAAACUAUGCCAGCGUAGGGUUGGGGCGGUCGACCGCAGGGUUAAACUGCGGCGUACCAUCUCAGGCCUUAGGGGAAACCUAGCUUUCGGGCUGCUGGGAGAAUAUCGCUGCAAGGCUGAAAUUUAAAGAAAUUGACGGAGAGGCACCACCAGGAGUGGAGCCUGCGGCUUAAUUUGACUCAACACGGGGAACCUCACCAGGUCCAGACAUUGGCAGGAUUGACAGACUGAGAGAUCUUUCAUGAUUCAGUGGAUGGUGGUGCAUGGCCGUUCUUAGUUGGUGGAGUGAUCUGUCAGGUCUAUUCCGGUAACGAGCGAGACCACGGCCUUUAGUUUGCCUGCACUCCCAGAGCGCGGGCACUAGAGGGACUAUUGAUGUCGAAAUCAGGGGAAGCGUGGCAAUAACAGGUCUGUGAUGCCCUUCGAUGUCCUGGGCUGCACGCGCGCUACAAUGGCAGCAGCAGAGAGUGUCGGCUGGCCAGAGAUGGCCGGCCAAACUGUAAAUAGCUGUCGUGAUAGGGAUUGGGCCUUGCAAUUGUUGCCCAUGAAAGAGGAAUUCCUCGUAAGCGCCGGUCAUCAGCCGGUGUUGAAUACGUCUCUGCCUCUUGUACACACCGCCCGUCGCUACUACCGAUUGAAUUGCUUCUAAAGCUGGUUGGACC